CGUACCGUACACGCUCCUGUGCCUGUGUUCUUGCACUUUUUUCCGUUGGAUUUCUCUACUAUAUUCUUGAAUUUGUUCUUUUCCACCGUCCUCCCUGCCGUGCAGCCCCCCCACUAAAUCGGAUCACACACUCGAGUCGCUUGUCGUUCAUGAAUGUCUGGUGUCUAAAAUUCUACACGCCCGGAAUUCAUCGAGACCCAAAACCGGAUUACAUCUACCGUGCGGCUACUGUGAACAGAAUCUCCAAAUCUUUUGGCUCGACAAUGCGCUACUGUUGCCUCUCAUCCUUCCCGUCCCAGUACCAAAGGUGUACAAUGUCGCAGAAGAAAAAUUGCCUCUAUGCAAAGGGCUACAGUUGCUGAGAGUGACGGCGUGUCCCCCGCUUUGUAUCCUCAAUGUCAGACCAGCAGUGCAGCUCUCUCACCAAAAAAGCGGCUCACACAGACGCACGAUCAUUUGCAUAUUCAAAGUAUACCAAACGAGCAACACAUGUUUGCCUGUUAUUUUCCCCCUUUCUUUUUUUUUUCCCUUAUUCCCGUCCCAACAACUCGAAGCACUUGAACACUUGAAAAAGUUGGCUGAAUAAAAGAAAAUAAAAAAUGAA